AAAUAACAAAAGUUAAAUCCAACACAUUUACCUUUGUCUUCUCGCCUUCGACCACGACGAUAGCAACUUUGAUAUCUAGGGUUCAUCUUCGUCAUCUUCUUCGAUCGAUGACGGCUUAAGCCCACAGUAAAGUUUCAAGAGAUUGUGUGAGGCGAAUAGUCGGAAGGAAUCUCUAGCUCGAGCUUUCUUCACGUCAUUCUGGCUGAUGUUCUUCUCCUCCAAGACCUCCAAGACGUUACAAGAUGCAUUGAUUCAUCACCAUUAACAACCAUAUUCACUUCUUCUACCCACGAUCAUCAUAAUUAAUCAUUCAAUCUUCUAAUCUCUUCCAGGCGGUUGAUUUCAACCUAUAAAAAAAAGACGUGUGUGUGAGUUUCUAUCCAUUAUGAUGGAUGCAAGAGAAAAAUCUGGAAAAAUUUGAGCAAAAUCGAGAAUAUAAACAUUGUCUCUUCAUAUUUGUUGCUUCUUUAAUUAUUUUUCAUAGACGAUGAUAUACAUUAACAUUUUUUUCUUUACUAAUUAACUAACUGACUAACAAUUGUGACUAUUUAGGUGUAUAUACAGCGAACAUUGACGUGAAGCAAAAGAAAGUAACGGUUGUUGGAAACGUAGAGCCGUGGAUUUUGAUCAAGAAGAGCGUGUAAGCAAGUAGACACGCCCAGGUUUGGCCGUCGACAAAAACGAUUAUAAUUACCAGAAAGUAAGGCACAUAUCAUAGAGUUUAUAUGAAAAUCAACCUUUUGUAUCUCCAUUCUUAAUAGUUCAUUCUACUAAAUAUCUACUUAUGUUCCUUUGCUUACGUAUAUACCUCACCCGGUGCUUUAUCUGUUAUAUAUCAACAAGCAUUCAAAAGAAACCAAAAUUUCCAGUCAUGCAAACCACCAGUGUUUCAUCACAAGAUGAUUCUGAUGACGAUUUGGAGACUCAGAAACAACAUAAUAGAGAUCUUGCCGACGUAGAGCAUGGUAGGAGGUGCAAAUCUUGAUUUCUAUAUCUUAGCAUUUUUCUGAUUAUCAUUCUGAAUCUCGAUAUAUAUAGAGAUACUUUCGACUUGGAAGUAUUACGAGAUAUUUAAGUGAUCAUAACACACCAGAAACGCAUAAUUAAAAGGGAGUUGUCUACUUGGGCAUAAAAAACUGAACUGUGAAGUAAGAUGUCCAGUGGAAGAAGUGAACCCAAUCUUAACAUCUUUUCCAACAAUUUGAGUUCGGGAUGUGGUGACAUCACAUGCGAAAGGAUACUUUACUGCUUCAGCCAUCUAUAAUUUCUGCUACAGACAUUUUAGAAACAUUGGCAAUUUGGCACCAAGAGCAAGUGACUGGUGUAGAUGUUUAAGAACUGAGGCAAACUUGGGAGGAUGCAUAUGAACUGCUGCUCCCGCCUCAAUACACCAAACCGAGCGUUCGUGCAAUGGAAGACCAAUAUUUUGAAGAAUGUGCUGUGAGUUUAUAUUUACAUGUUUUCUCAGCUGGACGUUUAACUGUAUUUUCUGUUUUUGUGUCAUGGGUCUGGUUGAUUCUUUAUUUGGAAAAACAGCAAGGAAACUCUCAAAAGGAAAAGAAAGACACCCGCUGUAUGAGAGUGAUUUUGUGUUUGUGAUUGUUCUUACACUAAUAUGUUUUGUAGAUCGAUUGAUUGUUGAAGUUAUGUCUACAAAUGGACUCUGAUGAGUAUGAGUGCCUGGAGAACAAAGACGGGGAUGGUUGGUGAUGAAAAAGCCAAAUCUGAAGUAAAAUAGAGGACUAGAAGCGCAAGCAUAUGAGAGACGGAGACAAGGAUGGUCGAUGUUCUGAGCCGUUGAGGUUGCACUACCAUUCAUGAUCUAGAGACAGACAGGGAUAUGCAUAUAUAGGUAUCCAGGAGCAUAGAGACGAGAGAGUUAAAGAGCUCGCAAAAGGGUGGAGAUGAGAAGAUAUAAAGGGAAAGAGAGAGUGGCUCUUAUUUUUCAUGCACUGCAGAAGCAGGUGAAUAACUCAGAAACAUGCUACAGAAACAUGUGAACAACUUAUCCUCUUCCUCUGUUUCUUUCCGGCCCCUUCAUUUUAACAAAACCCUAAAAUGCAGAGAUUCCACUUUAUUAGUUAAGAAUGUUAAGCUGCUACAUAGGUUUGAUUGGGUCAUCAAGUGUUUGUUUCUAUUCUAAGAAUAAAAUGUUUAUCACCUGUUUGAUUAAUUGCUUCUGAAGAAAAUGAAUUGACUUCUGAUUUA